ACUGCUCAGUGACCCAAAAACAAUGAAACAAAAUCCACCGAGUGUGUGUGGAUGAGAAACCAAAGAAUUAAUUGGCUGACAGGUCAAUGAAUGACUCCACUGGAAUCUUCUGUCUCCAGCAAUGGCCACCAUUUCUGACUCUGAUAUUUGUAUUGGAGUGCUUGGACUUCACAAUCGUCCACCUCUCUUGCAUGCCUUUGUUUGAAAGUGUGCACCAUGAUGGGAAAUAUGAACUCACAUAUAUAUAUAUAUAUAUAUAUAUAUAUAUAUAUAUAUAUAUCACUUUCAUCCAUUUUGUUUUGCCUGUAUCAUGGUAGGAAAAGGUAUCUCUCUACACCUGUUUUGAAACGACAAAGAAAAUAAGAGAAAACUCCUAGUCCUCCAUUGAUGAAUGACUAACCUAAAGAAGAGAAAACUUCAUGGUAGGAAAAGGUAUCUCUCUUCCUCUUCUUCUAGUUUUCCUGCCUUUAUUUUCUUUUUUUAUUAUAACUUUUUUUGUAUUCUGACUGAUGUUGCUUCACAUCCAAAUUCAUUGUUAACUUGUGAUAAAAAACUGUAUGAUUUAGUGAAUGACUAGAAAAUUGGUGAUGCAUCAAUAAGGAUCAUCAUUAAAUUCAUCCAUCUAACAUAGACAUAACAUGUUCGCCUAAAAUGUUCAAGCCCUACAUCAAACGGCAUAGACCAUGAGCUGUUGGGACCAAUCUUUAAAGGUCGACGCGGUGUCGAUUUGUGGUGCUGAAAAAUUCGAAUGAUUUAAUGUUGGUAAUAGCAUUUGUUCCCCCUCUUGUAAGUUUAUGUGCAUAUACUAAGGACAUGCCAUGUAAGGUAUUACAGGUUGAGAAGCACUGCUCCAUUUAAACUAAAUUUCUCUAAUCACAUAGCAAAAAAUUAUGUUAUAGACCACAAUCUUUUUAAUUCCAUGAAGUGGUGUGGUGCCAAUUUGGCAAGUGAUUGUGAUUCACAGAGAAAUAAAUAAAUAAACUUUUCUAGAGACCAGAAAAUCUUAUUACAGCUCUCUCAAAUACCAAUAACAGUAUCAUGAAGUGCAAUGCAAGACAUAAACCACCAUUAGACGAGUAAAAGGGAUCGAUCAAAAUAAUUAAACAUUCAGAAGACUUACAUAUAAGUUAUCAAAGAGUUUUAGAGAGCACAGAUGCUCUACUUCGUGAAGUGCAGUCUAAUAUUUGAAAAGACUUAAUUAGCAUAUAUUGGCUUUUUUUUUUUCAUCUCAAACUACAUUAAAAUUAUCGAAAAUGUGAUCUUUAGAGAGCACAGAAUCACCAUAUCAUGCAAUACAAUGUAAGACAUCAGCCACCGCUGCACAAGUACACAGUCAAGGUUAUUAAAAGAGAUGAACUUAGAGAGCACAAAAGUUCUCCAAUGAAGUGUAAUGUAAGACAUAUUCUCCGACCACCCUAAAGUGAUACUGUUUUGUGCUUAAAUCCUUGGGAGAAUGCAGAAAAGAAUUUGAGAGCUUUUCUUCUUCUUUUUUACGUGCAACCAACUCGUACGUGCAUGCAAUACAGUUCUUGUUUGCACCCUGGAGACUGAGGCAGGGUCUGCAGUAAUGGCGGUCUCAUGAGCAACGAGGACGGCAUACAGAGAGCAAGUAAGAUUCCACCACAGAGGGCAUUCAAGUCCCGCGGUGGGAUCGUUUGCUUGACGCGGUCUGCACGCCCCACCGAGGUGAAAAAAGAUAGAAUGGUGCUGUUGCUGCAACAACAGUUAUGGCGAGCGGCCGAGUUGGUGCGGUCGCCGCCCGUCUUAAU
rnacentral:lncRNA from 1 species